rnacentral:rRNA from 1 species
GCGGAUCAGGCCAAACCUUGCGCGUGUGAUACCCGUCGGGGGUUGCGCGCGGGGUGUAGAGGGAUCGCGUUUGCCGGCUCCGACGGGCCGGCCGUCAGUUGCAUAAAACCAUGUGCCAGGGGAACCGGGUUGAAUACCGGGCCGCAGAGGGUGAGGGCCCCGUACCCGAACGCGCAUGGUCUGGCGAUCGCGUCUCCCAAGUAGCACGGGCCCCGUGGAAUCCCGUGCGAAUCUGUCCCGACCGUGGGAUAAGCC